rnacentral:hammerhead_ribozyme from 1 species
AUCCAGUGACGAGUCCCAAAUAGAACGAAAUUCGCGUUAUCCUGGAU